rnacentral:rRNA from 1 species
GGUGAACGCUGGCGGCGUGCCUAAUACAUGCAAGUCGAGCGAAUGGAUUAAGAGCUUGCUCUUAUGAAGUUAGCGGCGGACGGGUGAGUAACACGUGGGUAACCUGCCCAUAAGACUGGGAUAACUCCGGGAAACCGGGGCUAAUACCGGAUAACAUUUUGAACCGCAUGGUUCGAAAUUGAAAGGCGGCUUCGGCUGUCACUUAUGGAUGGACCCGCGUCGCAUUAGCUAGUUGGUGAGGUAACGGCACACCAAGGCAACGAUGCGUAGCCGACCUGAGAGGGUGAUCGGCCACACUGGGAGUGAGACACGGCCCAGACUCCUACGGGAGGCAGCAGUAGGGAAUCUUCCGCAAUGGACGAAAGUCUGACGGAGCAACGCCGCGUGAGUGAUGAAGGCUUUCGGGUCGUAAAACUCUGUCGUUAGGGAAGAACAAGUGCUAGUUGAAUAAGCUGGCACCUUGACGGUACCUAACCAGAAAGCCACGGCUAACUACGUGCCAGCCGCCGCAGUAA